GGCAUGGCCGAGGAGGGCUGGGCGCCGAAUCACUUGAAAGAUCAGCAGGCUCAGCUGAGAAAUUCAUAGAAAAAAGAGAACUGACUGCUCAGGUGACAUGGAGGUAGAUCCCAGGAAGGAAGGAAGGGAGAGCAGGAAAGAAAUUGCCUGGGGGUUGAAGAGCUACCGAAGAGAAACUACCCAGCCACGAAACCACAUUUAUUGAGCUCGACCAUAAGAGAACAGGGUCUCACUCUGCCACCCAGGCUGGAGUGCAGUGGUACGCUCAUAAUUCAUUGCAGCCUCUAUCUCCUGGGCUCAAGUGAUUCUCCAACCUCAGCUUCCCGAGCAGCUGGGAUUACAGCUCUUGCUCUGGUGUAUGGCAACUUGCUCUGGUGUAUGGCAAAUACGUGUGAUGUUGAAUGAACAGGUAUGUGCCUGAGAAUGGAUCGAUUCAAUGGGUUCUUUCCAAUAAACUCAUAAGGAGAUCUACAGGUGU